AGCGGACGCUGGCGGCAGGCUUAACACAUGCAAGUCGAGCGGGCAUCCUUGUGGUGUCAGCGGCAGACGGGUGAGUAACGCGUGGGAACGUGCCCUUCGGUUCGGAAUAACUCAGGGAAACUUGAGCUAAUACCGGAUACGUGCGAGAGCAGAAAGGUUUAUCUGCCGAAGGAUCGGCCCGCGUCUGAUUAGCUAGUUGGUGAGGUUACGGCUCACCAAGGCGACGAUCAGUAGCUGGUCUGAGAGGAUGAUCAGCCACACUGGGACUGAGACACGGCCCAGACUCCUACGGGAGGCAGCAGUGGGGAAUAUUGGACAAUGGGGGCAACCCUGAUCCAGCCAUGCCGCGUGAGUGAUGACGGCCUUAGGGUUGUAAAGCUCUUUUCUCCGGGACGAUAAUGACGGUACCGGAGGAAUAAGCCCCGGCUAACUUCGUG
rnacentral:rRNA from 1 species